AAGAAUGAUCUAAAAAGAACAAGGGCACGCUUCGGUUCGAAUAGUGGCACCUCGUGGCCCGCCCCUCUUACUGUUGCAAAGGUCAAUCCCUGUAUGUGUAUGUAUAUCAAACCUGGUUAUCAGAGUACCAAGGAUACCAACGAGUUUUCACCGGGAGAUUGAGAUGGCUCAGGGAAAACCGGGUGGCGGUCACUGGAACCACCGAAUCUGUAUCACCGCUGCAUAUGACAGUACAAUCCACAAAUUUGGUUAUAGGGGAUCCGCUGAUGUGACUAUACCAAGCUGCAUUGAACCAUAGUUUACCUGAAAAUCCAGAUCCUCAUACCAGACGCUGCAAG